UCCAGCAUGAGCCGGUGCUCGACUCCCAUGACGCUGAAGUAUCGCGGCUCCGCAAAUGUCGUGCUACACUGCAAUGCCGCGAUACCCAAGCUAGGACGUCGGGCUGAGAUCAUACGGCCUUGAACUUGCUCUGGACAAUGCCAGCGAAAGAAUCAUGCUUUUCUAUCUC
rnacentral:ncRNA from 1 species